rnacentral:misc_RNA from 1 species
AGUUCGAUUCUGGCUCAGAUUGAACGCUGGCGGGAUGCUUUACACAUGCAAGUCGAACGGCAGCACGGACUUCGGUCUGGUGGCGAGUGGCGAACGGGUGAGUAAUGCAUCGGAACGUGCCUAGUAGCGGGGGAUAACUACGCGAAAGCAGUAGCUAAUACCGCAUACGCCCUUCGGGGGAAAGCGGGGACCUUCGGGCCUCGCAAUUAGAGCGGCCGAUAUCGGAUUAGCUAGUUGGUGGGGUAACGGCUCACCAAGGCGACGAUCCGUAGCUGGUUUGAGAGGACGACCAGCCACACUGGGACUGAGACACGGCCCAGACUCCUACGGGAGGCAGCAGGGGAAUUUGGACAAUGGGGGAAACCCCUGAUCCAGCCAUCCCGCGUGUGCGAUGAAGGCCUUCGGGUUGUAAAGCACUUUUGGCAGGAAGAAACGGCACGGGAUAAUACCCUGUGCAACUGACGGUACCUGCAGAAUAAGCACUGGCUAACUACGUGCCAGCCGCGGUAAUACGUAGGUGCAAGCGUUAAUCGGAAUUACUGGGCGCAGCGUGCGCAGGCGGUUCGGAAAGAAAGAUGUGAAAUCCCAGAGCUUAACUUUGGAACUGCAUUUUUAACUACCGAGCUAGAGUGUGUCAGAGGGAGGUGGAAUUCGCGUGUAGCAGUGAAAUGCGUAGAUAUGCGGAGGAACACCGAUGGCGAAGGCAGCCUCCUGGGAUAACACUGACGCUCAUGCACGAAAGCGUGGGGAGCAAACAGGAUUAGAUACCCUGAUAGUCCACGCCUCAAACGAUGUCAACUAGCUGUUGGGGCCUUCGGGCCUUGGUAGCGCAGCUAACGCGGUGAAGUUGACCGCCUGGGGAGUACGGUCGCAAGAUUAAAACUCAAAGGAAUUGACGGGGACCCGCACAAGCGGUGGAUGAUGUGGAUUAAUUCGAUGCAACGCGAAAAACCUUACCUACCCUUGACAUGUCUGGAAUCCCGAAGAGAUUUGGGAGUGCUCGCAAGAGAACCGGAACACAGGUGCUGCAUGGCUGUCGUCAGGCUCAGU